rnacentral:rRNA from 1 species
CUCGCGCGCCGAACCUUUCGUCCCCGGACACGGUCAGCCGCCCGGUAGCUCUCACGGAGAGAGCCGUACCUCGCCGACGACGCCGUGGCAGCACGCAAGGCGCCGAAGUCAUCACACGCCCAUGUGCCGCGCGCUGUACCCCGGCGUUGACUGCGGGCACGUUCCCAAUUCCAAGCUCCACGGGGACGGGACGGGACGGUCCGGUCAUACCGCGGGCCGCGGGCUCCAUAUCGCAUCUUCGCAUCUCCUUCCUCCCUCCCCCAUCCAUCCCCACACCGCAGGGGCCACGCCGCUGCCAACCUACGACCCAGACUCGCCACCCAUCCCGCAACGUCGGAGGAGACAAAUCACCAGACAAGACUCUCGCCGAUUCCUAAACCGGCGCCAGGAUUUCGUUCCCAUCCCUCCUCGCCCAUUUCCGUCCCCGCCCGGCCGAUCCACCCCACCCCGCCCCCGCCCGCCGGAUCACGCGGUUCUUGCGACGCUGCAGAUCCAAGAAACGCACUCCUCCCUCCCUCCCUCCGGUUUGCUCCCUCCUCUCCUCUUCUUCCUCUCGCCAAGCUCCCGUUCUCGUGUUGCGUGGCCUCGUGGCGUGAUCCGUACGUGCGUGCCUCCGUUUCUUGUUUUGGAUCUCUCAGGACAAGGCCGCCCGAGGAAAUCGGCCAGGCGGGCAGGCACUCGGGCGCCAGGCGCGAGGCGAGGGCCGAGCUUGAUGCUCCCAGCUUGCUGAGGAUCAAUGCUAUCCAAGCCACCCUCUGAUCCGGCCGGCAAGCUCUCGAUCGAAAUGAUGGAGGACGAACAAUCAGCCACAUAUACUGUGGAUGACGCCCUUAUAUCUUCAGGUUUUGGGAAGUACCAAAUAUUGAUUCUCUCCUAUGCUGGGAUAGGCUUAAUCGCAGAAGCAAUGGAGAUGAUGCUGCUAUCAUUUGUUGGUCCAUCCGUUCAGUUAGAAUGGAAUCUUACUGCUCACCAGGAAAGCAUGAUUACAAGUGUUGUUUUUGUUGGAAUGCUAAUAGGAGCUUACUCUUGGGGUGUGGUCUCAGAUAACUAUGGAAGGAGGAAAGGGUUUCUCUUUACUGCCAUUAUGACGAGUGGAGCUGGAUUCCUGAGUGCCUUUUCUCCAAACUAUGUAGCUUUAAUGGCUCUACGGUUUUUAGUUGGUAUUGGCUUGGGAGGAGGACCUGUUCUUGGAUCUUGGUUCUUGGAAUUUGUUCCUGCUCCAAGUAGAGGAACUUGGAUGGUGGUACUCUCAGCAUUUUGGACUGUCGGUACCAUCUUCGAGGCUUCGCUUGCAUGGGUAGUUAUGCCCAAGUAUGGCUGGAGGUGGUUGCUAGCAUUAUCAUCUGUGCCGUCUCUCCUCCUGCUUUUGUUUUAUGCUAUCACACCCGAGUCGCCAAGGUUCCUCUGCAUGAAAGGCAGAACAAUGGAGGCUGUGGAUGUACUGGAGAAAAUGGCAAGGUUAAACAGUGCACAACUCCCUUCGGGUAAGCUUGUUUCUGACAAGAACAUUGAGCUAGAUGAAGUUUCCGAGUCUGCAACGCUUCUGUCUGCUACUGCUAAAGCUGCUAAAGAAGAAGAAAACGACAACAUCAAGGAAGACGAAGGUUCCGAUUUUGGAGGUUUCAAGUCUGUUUCUAAGCUGUUGUCACCAAAAUUGCUCAGAGCAACUCUGCUUCUGUGGAUGGCUUUCUUUGGGAAUGCAUUUUCGUAUUAUGGUAUUGUUCUGUUGACAUCGGAGUUAAGUAACGGAAAUAGGAUAUGUGCAAAACAGGAGGUUGAAUCUGUACACUCGAACAACUCAAGCCUGUACAAAAACGUGUUUAUUUCUAGCUUUGCAGAGAUUCCAGGGUCAUUCGUGUCGAUCAUGAUCGUGGAUAGAAUUGGGCGAAGGCUUUCAAUGGCUUCGAUGCUCUUCACUAGCUGUGUCUUUUUAUUCCCACUAGUGUUUUCCCGCACAGAAAUACUGACAAGAAUCUCAUUAUUCGGUGCCCGGCUCUGCAUUUCUGCGAGCUUCACAAUCGUAUACAUAUACGCUCCCGAGAUCUACCCAACCUCGGUGAGGACGACAGGCAUCGGAGUCGCCAGCUCGGUCGGCAGGAUCGGCGGCAUUCUGUGCCCCCUCGUCGCCGUUGCUCUGGUGCACAACUGCCAUCAGACGACUGCGAUCCUCCUCUUCGAGCUCGUGGUUUUCCUCUCGGGGGUGGCUGUCAUGUUCUUCCCUUUCGAGACAAAAGGCUGCAGGCUCAACGACACCGAGGCCGAUAUGCAUUGAUGCGGCGGGUUAUAUCAUAGCACCAUUUUUUUGUGUCCUGAGAGCAGUGGCGGCAUAUUAUCGAACUUUUUUUUCCAACAUGAUACCGAUAUUGAUUAUAGUGAUCUUAGAUACCGGGGAAUCCUUUCCCCUAGGAAUGAUCCCCCAUCCACUUGGCGGCAGCGGUGCAAGGGGAUUGCAGAGUAUAAGAAUAGUUGGGUCAGACUGUGCUCGGUUCUGUUUUGUAACCUAUACUUUGGACUUUGGAAUGAUAGUCGUUGGAAUAAGGAGAUACACCAGUUGGGCAGAAACUAGCUUUUAACCAGCUUGAUGGUAAGAAAUCCUGGGACCUGGAAAUUCAUAUCAUUUCG